UAGGGAAUCUUCCACAAUGGACGCAAGUCUGAUGGAGCAACGCCGCGUGAGUGAAGGAGGUCUUCGGAUCGUAAAACUCUGUUGUUAGAGAAGAACAUGCAGGAGAGUAACUGUUCUUGUAUUGACGGUAUCUAACCAGAAAGCCACGGCUAACUACGUGUCAG
rnacentral:rRNA from 1 species